rnacentral:rRNA from 1 species
UAAAAAAAUUUUUAAUAAAAAUAUUAUGGGGGUUUAAGUAUUUUUAUAGAAAUAAAUUAAUUAAUUUAUAGUGAAUUAGUAUUGUGAAAGAAUUUUGAAAUAAUUGAAAAUAAAAUUAUUGGAAAGUAAUUUUUAAUUAAUGUAUCUUGUGUAUCAGAGUUUAUUAAUAAAAAUUUAAGGGUUUAAAAUUCUCGAAUUUAAAAGAGAUAAUUAAUUAUAAAAGUUAUUGUGGCAUAAAUAUUUUAAAUAAUUAAUUGGAAAUGAAAUGUUAAUCGUUUUUAAAUAUAUCUAGUUUUUUUAGAAAAAAAUUUAAUUUUAAAUUUUAUUUUUAAGAAGUUAAUUAAUUAAUUUCUUAAAAAUAAAAUUUUAUACUUUAAGGGAUAAGCUUUAAAUUAAAUUUAUAUAAAUAUUAGUUUUGUUUUUGAAAUUUAUAAAAUUUAUAUUGUUUAAAAAUUAUAAUUUAUUAUAAAUAAUUUCAUUAAAAAUAAAAUUUAAAAUAAAUUUAUAUUUUUAUAAAAAAAUAAUUUUUAAUAUGAUAAAAUUAAUUAUAAUGAUAAAAUUAGUAUAUAAAAUGAAAAAUAAAAUUAUUUUUUUUUUAGUUAACUAAAAGGAAUUCGGCAAAAUUUUAUAUUCACCUGUUUAUCAAAAACAUGUCUUUUUGAAAUUAAUAUAAAGUCUGGUCUGCCCACUGAUGAAAUAUUAAAGGGCUGCAGUAUUUUGACUGUACAAAGGUAGCAUAAUCAUUAGUCAUUUAAUUGAUGACUUGUAUGAAAGAUUGGAUGAAAUAUAGACUGUCUCUUAGUUAAAAUAUAGAAAUUAAUUUUUUAAUUAAAAAGUUAAAAUAAGUUAAAAAGACGAGAAGACCCUAUAGAGUUUUAUAUUUAAAUUAAUUAAGAUUAUUUAUAAAUUUAAAAAUUAAAAUUAAUUUAAUUAUUUUGUUGGGGUGACAGAAAAAUAAAAAAAACUUUUUUUAAAUAUUUACAUAUAUAAGUGAUUAAAUGAUCCAAUUUUAUUGAUUAUAAGAAAAAAUUACCUUAGGGAUAACAGCGUAAUUUUUUUUUUUAGUUCGUAUAAAAAAAAAAGUUUGCGACCUCGAUGUUGGAUUAAGAUAAAAUUUAAAUGCAGAAGUUUAAAAUUUUUGAUCUGUUCGAUCAUUAAAAUCUUACAUGAUCUGAGUUCAAACCGGUGUAAGCCAGGUUGGUUUCUAUCUUUUAAUAAAUAGAAUAUUUUAGUACGAAAGGAUUAAAUAUUCAAAUUAAAUUUAUGUCAUUGAAUAUU